CAAAGCACUUUGAAGAGAGAGUUAAAGAGGACGUGAAACCGGUAAGGUGGAAACGGAUAGAGUCGGCGUAUCAUUCAAUUAUUCAGUUACAUUAUUUUUAUGUUGUGACCUCUGAGCUCCAGAUUGGGACAGAGGGAAUCAGCAUAAUUUUUUGUGGUGCAUUUACUUGAUUGGUGCUUGGGGAUGUUUGAGGCAGAUUUGUUUCCGUCGUUUUGAGGCCAGCUUGCUGGUACCCAAACGGUGUUAGCAUUUUUUGUCUUGGGCAUUUGAGUAUGGCUCACGUGUAUUUAUUGGACAGAUCUGAGUGUAAGUUACGGUCGCAUGCGACACGUGCUUUUCAAUUAGUUCGGUCCAGUUAAUGCUCUCGUACUCGUUCCCCAUGUAAAAGCCGGUCAUCUAUCCGACCCGUCUUGAAACACGGACCAAGGAGUUUAUCGUGUGCGCAAGUUUUUGGGAGUUAAAAACUUAAAAGCGAAAUGAAAGUAAAUGGCUCUUUAGAGUCUGAUGUGCGAUCUUGUAAAAAAGUGCAGCAUGGCCCCAUUCUAACUGUUUACAGUAGGGUGGCGGAAGAGCGUACGCGGUGAGACCCGAAAGAUGGUGAACUAUUCCUGAGCAGGACGAAGCCAGAGGAAACUCUGGUGGAAGUCCGAAGCGGUUCUGACGUGCAAAUCGAUCGUCUGACUUGGGUAUAGGGGCGAAAGACUAAUCGAACCAUC
rnacentral:rRNA from 1 species